UAUCCUUCAAGAUAUAAGCAGUAAAAGGUCAGUCUCUCUCUUAGGGGCCCAGGAAAACGUUCGAGAAGAAUAGAAAUGAAAUCAAUCCUUUGAUGUCUUCGCUUCUUUCGCUACUAAUGCCAGGGUUCCUGACGACAUUUUCGUCGCUAACGCCUUCAAAGAAGAGGAGCUAUACGGGACAAGACAGAUCACAGAAGCCGACACCGACUUGGUUUGUACUGAGCUGAGCCGAGAAAGAACACACCCAUCAAAUCUCCCGGCGAAUGACGUCACCAACAUGGCGUCCUUAGGACUGACGGUGACGUCACGACUCAUAACAAAGAUGGCGGCGGCGCGAGACGGUGAUAUAUCGCUGUGGCUCCAUAAUAAACUCGGCACGUCGGCUGAUACGUGGUCUGAGGGCUCGAUUUGCUCCCAGUUAAAUGUCGAAGUCCUCCGAAACAUCAAGGAGUGCUUCGUAGAGCUGCAGACGCAAGUGAAGUUGAAAUUGCUGUUGUCGUUCUUUCACAUCCCGAAGCGCAAUGUUGAGGAGUGGAGAUCUGAACUGGAAGAAAUUAUGGAAGUGGCUGUGUUGGACAGUGAAACCUGGGUGCAAUGUUGGCAGAAAUUAUGAGAACUUGCCCCUCAAACUGGUAAUCUUAACUUGGACAUUAGGGAGCCACCAGAAAAUCAACGUAUCACUCAUGAUCUGACAACUGAGUUAAGAAAAUUAGUCAAAAAACAUAGUGAACUUGGUUUACUACCAAUGGAGUGUAAUUACCUUAAUAGAAAUGCUUUUUUGGCUGCAGCUGGAAAUCAGGUAUGUUUCUUGAAAAUA